rnacentral:rRNA from 1 species
UACGUAGGCAGCAAGCGUUGUUCGGAAUUACUGGGCGUAAAGAGUGUGUAGGCGGUGUUCUAAGUCUGUUGUGAAAUCUCCCGGCUCAACUGGGAGGGUGCGGCGGAGACUGGAAUGCUAGAGUAUGGGAGAGGUAAGCGGAAUUCCUGGUGUAGCGGUGAAAUGCGUAGAUAUCAGGAGGAACACCUGUGGUGUAGACAGCUUACUGGACCAUGACUGACGCUGAGACACGAAAGCGUGGGUAG